UCAAAUGUUGCUGAAUUCGUAGUUUGUAAGGUGAACGAGUUUUUUUUGGGGCGAAAAAGAAGUGGUCUCGUGCGCACUUAAUGGUCUACCUGCGCGCGCACACUUGUUCAAAUACCGAAAGUGGCGAAAAGCAAACAGAGCUGUCUUUCACAACAAAAUACUCCAAAAAGGACUGAGACUUUAUUCCACUCAAGACGACGAAGAGAGCGGAGUCUGCCUGACUGGCUCACUGACAGUGGAUGAGAAGCCAGUAGCAGGAGACUUAAUUCCACCCAAGACGACGAAGAGAGAGGAGUCUGUCUGACUGGCUCACUGACAGUGGAUGAGAAGCCAGUAGCAGGAGACUUUAUUCCACUCAAGACGACAAAGAGAGAGGAGUCUGCCUGACUGGCUCACUGACAGUGGAUGAGAAGCCAGUAGCAGGAGACUUUAUUCCACCCAAGACGACGAAGAGAGAGGAGUCUGCCUGACUGGCUCACUGACAGUGGAUGAGAAGCCAGUAGCAGGCUGGUGUUUGAUUGGUGUUGGGACACCAAAUAAUUGGACUCAAAGGGGAGGGGCCUUCAAUGAGACCCUGCUGUGGAAUGGGAG